ACAAGCACUGUUUUGAUAUGGUUGUUGGGCUUUUUAAUUAGGUGCACCCUUCCACACUUACACACGGUUUACCUUCAUCAUGCAUCUCCAUUACAUGCCUACUGUCACACUUCACAGCUCUGCCAACCAGGCUCGGUGGGUGACAGGUAAGUGUUUCCACCAAGCUGUUCAAUGCCUGGAGUGGCACGCUGGAACUUCCAGAGGCUUGUAGACCUGAAGCAGUGUGAUGUGAUACAGCUCAACCACAGUCUUCACAGCUGGAGUCGUGUGCCCUGCAACUGCUAAACUGGCCAUGAAAGGUGAUACAGAUCUGCCACCAGGUUUUCAGCUGCAGUCACUAGUCCUCUGCUGUGGUAUUUAAUUUACCGGCUGCACCAGUUCUUACUACACUGGCCACGGUGAGGAAUACCCAGAUGGAUACAGAUCUGCCAUGCACUCCACCACUGCCCGACAGCCUCACCCAGAAGGGAAAUACACUGGGCCUAUCGAGACUGACAAAGCAGAGAUGGGUGGCUAACUAGAGAAAAUAAAACGUAUACACUCUCACACACAUUUGAUUUUGAUUAGUAUGUAAAUAUAUUGUGAUUACUUGUUUAUUUUAUAUGUAUGCUCCAUUUUAUUAUGAUUGGAAAUAUUUAGUCCUACAGAUUGUGUUAUCCAUUUCCCACAAUGGACAUGUGCAGUUGUGCUUACUCACAGUCCAAGUCAUUGUUUUACAGUCUCAAGUCCUAAACUUUGAUUUUCGAGAACUAAACAAGUUACAACGUGCUCUUCACCAAAUGUAAUACCAUUUCAUAUUUUUAACGAGUAAUAGUUAAUUACAUUUACGCAAAUGAAUGCGUAUAAAAAUAUCUAUAUAUUUAUUACUUUCCAAAUAAACAUAUUUCCAUGGAAAUACAUGUGUAGCCAUGAGAAAGAACCCCAGCGGGAGACGUGUGGUAGGCUGGGUCGGGUCGUAUGGGGUGGUUGCUCUCCGGGAGAUGAAUUAAGCAGCAGAGUAUCUGCUGGUCAUCCAACAUGGCAACUCACAUAGAAAUACAUCACCUACAACAGCCUUUGUCGUGUAGAAUUGAGUGUGGAUCUAUAUGUUUCAUUUCUAUCUGGAAAACUAUUUAAAUGCGGCGCCUCAGAUGAAAUAAGCCGCCUUUCUUCAUUAUCAACGGAGAAAGCUCAAAACUGUGGAGGACAGCCGAGAGGGGAAUGGUGGGAUUUGUGUGAAGCAUAAACACAGGUUCAAGCACUCGCCGUAAUCAGCAGGUUAGGAAGAGUACACAACCAUUCUAGGAGGCACUCUGCCACAAAUGUGCUCAUUUGAUCUUUUCCAGCUCCAAACAGCGUGGUGGCGAGUCAAUCUGCAAACCUAAUCUAGGCAAGCAGUGAGGAGCGCACAAAACAAUACAGGCUACAGACAUCACAAGCAGUG
ensembl:lncRNA